rnacentral:tRNA from 1 species
GCGCUGCUUGGUGCAGUGGGCGAGCACCUGGCCGAUGAGUGCGGCACCGGCCGGCAGGGCCGGCUGGGGAGGGGUCGCGCUCUGCGUGGCGGC